AUGCAAACUCAGCGACCAACGGCGGCGGUGGUGGGAGCGGUUUCGGUGGCGGCAGCGGAGCAAACCGCAGAUCCCGAUCUGGAAAAUUUCUUCGACCAACUGGAUCUUAACGAGGAAGAAUUUGAUGACGUGGAGAUCGAUGAAGAGGACCCGGAGAUCAAGGAAAGAGUCCAUUGGUUAACCCUUGCUAGGGUUCAUACCGACAAAACCUUCUCCUCGUCGGCCUUCUACAGGGAGAUGAGGGCGGCUUGGAACCCUACGCAAGGUGUUAGAUUCUGGCCGGUCGGGCCUAACAGAUUCGUUGUCCAGGCAUCAUCCUUGGGGGACUGGGAGCGGAUCAUGAAACAAGGCCCUUGGUUGUUCCGCAACAUGGCGGUGCUACUAUGCGUGUAUGAUGGAUUCAGCCGGGCUGAAGACAUGGUGUUUGAUCACAUGCCAACAUGGCUUCAGAUUCACAAACUCCCGGACCCGUAUUGCGAGGAACACAUUGUUAAGAAGUUGUUGAAGGGUGCGGGGGAGAUCCUGGAGAUGCGGCUCAAUGGGAACACGAGAGGUGAUUAUGUGAGGAUUAGGGUGAAUCACAACAUUAAACACCCCCUUACUAAGUUCGUCAGUAUUGUGCGAGCAAAAGAACGCCAAGUGUACCUGGUUAGAUAUGAAAAACUUGCUUGUUUUUGCAAGGUGUGUGCGCUGAUUGGCCAUGAUCAUAAGGAGUGUGGUCUGGACAUACAUGAUAAGAAGGGUAUGAAGUUCGGGGACUGUUUGUACGCGGAGGGGCCGUCUAGGCCAGGACAAGGCGCUGCGGUGAACAGGCAGUCCGGCCCCCGUUUCCCUGGUAAGGCUGGGAGUCCGUCUGCUUCUGCCCCAAGGGAAGAGAGGACCGACCCGAAAACCCCAUACACGGCGACAAGCCCUCUGAAAUAG
rnacentral:rRNA from 1 species